AUGUAAUUUCCUAAAGUUCAGCUUGAAGCUGUUGCUCAGAGUGGGGUCUUUUCAUAGAUUCAAAAGAAGCCCGAGGGCUGUUACACUGAAAAAAGAAAGAAAAGCGGAAAAACAACUGCACCACAUGCGAAUAUAAAAAAGAAGAGAACUCUAGCCAAUUGCACCAUCACCGGAUGGAAGAGCCCAGCUGUCACAACCUGUCUAGGAGCUUUGGGUUUACUCUGUUUACUCCAGGAAAGCCUCAACUCAACUACUGCAACUUCUGAAGCAUGGCCUGAAUAGAUUCAGUCAUUUGUAUCAGUCCAUUAGCGGAUAGGAAACUGAAGAAAUAAAGAAGUACACAUAAAGAGCAUGCCACUUAGUACUCUGGUUUGAUAGCUAC